AACGAACGCUGGCGGCAUGCCUAACACAUGCAAGUCGAACGAGACCUUCGGGUCUAGUGGCGCACGGGUGCGUAACGCGUGGGAACCUGCCCUUAGGUUCGGAAUAACUCCCCGAAAGGUGUGCUAAUACCAGAUAAUGUCUUCGGACCAAAGAUUUAUCGCGUUUGGAUGGGCCCUCGUUGGUUUAGCUAGUUGGUAGGGGAAAAGCCUACCAAGGCGACGAUGCAUAGCUGGUCUGAGAGGAUGAUCAGCCACAAUGGGACUGAGACACGGCCCAGAAUCCUACGGGAGGGAGCAGUGGAGAAUAUUGGAGGAUGGGCGCAAGCCUGAUCCAGCAAUGCGGCGUGAGUGAUGAAGGCGUUAGGGUUGUAAAGCUCUUUUACCCGGGAUGAUAAUGACAGUAACGGGAGAAGAAGCUCCGGCUAACUCCGUG
rnacentral:rRNA from 1 species